AGGAGCUCGGAGCCUUCCUCAUCGACGCGGACCGGCUGGGCCACGCCGUGUACGUCCCCGGGGGCCCUGCCUACGAGCGGGUGGUGGCAACCUUUGGACAAGAAAUAUUGAAUGAAGAUGGGACGAUUAACAGAAAAGUCCUUGGGGCCAAAGUGUUUGGAAACCAGGAGCGGCUGAAGGCUCUCACGGACAUCGUGUGGCCUGAGAUUGCCCGGCUGGUGAAGAAG